UACGAAGGGGGCUAGCGUUGCUCGGAAUCACUGGGCGUAAAGCGCACGUAGGCGGAUCGUUAAGUCGGAGGUGAAAUCCUGGAGCUCAACUCCAGAACUGCCUUCGAUACUGGCGAUCUUGGAGUCCGGGAGAGGUGAGUGGAACUCCGAGUGUAGAGGUGAAAUUCGUAGAUAUUCGCAAGAACACCAGUGGCGAAGGCGGCUCACUGGCCCGGUACUGACGCUGAGGUGCGAAAGCGUGGGGAGCAAACAGG
rnacentral:rRNA from 1 species